rnacentral:rRNA from 1 species
GAUGAACGCUGGCGGCGUGCCUAAUACAUGCAAGUCGAGCGAACGGACGAGGAGCUUGCUUCUCUGAUGUUAGCGGCGGACGGGUGAGUAACACGUGGAUAACCUACCUAUAAGACUGGGAUAACUUCGGGAAACCGGAGCUAAUACCGGAUGAUAUUUUGAACCGCAUGGUUCAAAAGUGAAAGACGGUCUUUCUGUCACUUAUAGAUGGAUCCGCGCUGCAUUAGCUAGUUGGUAAGGUAACGGCUUACCAAGGCAACGAUGCAUAGCCGACCUGAGAGGGUGAUCGGCCACACUGGAACUGAGACACGGUCCAGACUCCUACGGGAGGCAGCAGUAGGGAAUCUUCCGCAAUGGGCGAAAGCCUGACGGAGCAACGCCGCGUGAGUGAUGAAGGUCUUCGGAUCGUAAAACUCUGUUAUUAGGGAAGAACAUAUGUGUAAGUAACUGUGCACAUCUUGACGGUACCUAAUCAGAAAGCCACGGCUAACUACGUG